GACGAACGCUGACGGAGUGCUUAACACAUGCAAGUCGAACGGAAAGGAACUGAUUUAGAGAAGUAAUCAACAGGCGAACGGGUAAAUCACACGUGAGUAACCUGCCCUUGACUUUGGGAUAACUUCAGGAAACUGGGGCUAAUACCGGAUAGGAGCUCCUGCUGCAUGGUGGGGGUUGGAAAGUUUCGGCGGUUGGGGAUGGACUCGCGGCUUAUCAGCUUGUUGGUGGGGUAGUGGCUUACCAAGGCUUUGACGGGUAGCCGGCCUGAGAGGGUGACCGGCCACAUUGGGACUGAGAUACGGCCCAGACUCCUACGGGAGGCAGCUGUGGGGAAUAUUGCACAAUGGGCGGAAGCCUGAUGCAGCAACGCCGCGUGCGGGAUGACGGCCUUCGGGUGUGAAACCGCUUUCGCCUGUGACGAAGCGUGAGUGACGGUAAUGGGUAAAGAAGCACCGGCUAACUACGU
rnacentral:rRNA from 1 species